rnacentral:rRNA from 1 species
UACGAAGGGGGCGAGCGUUGUUCGGAUUUACUGGGCGUAAAGGGCGCGCAGGCGGCGAGUUUUGUCAGGCGUGAAAGCCCCGGGCUCAACCUGGGAAUUGCGCUUGAAACGGGCUUGCUAGAGAUCGGGAGAGGAGCGUGGAAUUCCCAGUGUAGAGGUGAAAUUCGUAGAUAUUGGGAAGAACACCGGUGGCGAAGGCGACACACUGGCCCGUUACUGACGCUGAGGCGCGAAAGCGUGGGGAGCAAACAGG